rnacentral:rRNA from 1 species
AUGCAGAUCUUUGUUAAGACCCUCACCGGCAAGACCAUCACACUUGAGGUAGAGUCCUCUGACACGAUCGACAAUGUCAAGGCGAAGAUCCAGGAUAAGGAGGGUAUCCCGCCGGACCAGCAGCGUCUCAUCUUUGCUGGCAAGCAACUUGAGGACGGACGCACCCUUGCUGAUUACAAUAUCCAGAAGGAAUCCACCUUGCACCUGGUACUCCGUCUGCGUGGUGGCAUGCAAAUCUUUGUGAAGACCCUCACCGGCAAGACCAUCACCCUGGAGGUGGAAUCUUCGGACACCAUUGACAACGUGAAGGCGAAGAUCCAGGACAAGGAGGGCAUCCCCCCGGACCAGCAGCGCCUGAUCUUUGCCGGCAAGCAGCUUGAGGAUGGUCGCACCCUUGCGGAUUACAACAUUCAGAAGGAGUCUACUCUCCACUUGGUGCUCCGCCUUCGUGGUGGCCAGUGA